rnacentral:rRNA from 1 species
GACGAACGCUGGCGGCGUGCUUAACACAUGCAAGUCGAACGGAAAGGCCCUGCUUUUGUGUGGUGCUCGAGUGGCGAACGGGUGAGUAACACGUGAGUAACCUGCCCUUGACUUUGGGAUAACUUCAGGAAACUGGGGCUAAUACCGGAUAGGAGCUCCUGCUGCAUGUUGGGGGUUGGAAAGUUUCGGCGGUUGGGGAUGGACUCGCGGCUUAUCAGCUUGUUGGUGGGGUAGUGGCUUACCAAGGCUUUGACGGGUAGCCGGCCUGAGAGGGGUACCGGCCACAUUGGGACUGAGAUACGGCCAAGACUCCUACGGGAGGCAGCAGUGGGAAAUAUUGCAAAAUGGGCGGAAGCCUGAUGCAGCAACGCCGCGUGCGGGAUGACGGCCUUCGGGUUGUAAACCGCUUUCGCCUGUGACGAAGCGUGAGUGACGGUAAUGGGUAAAGAAGCACCGGCUAACUACGUG